CACAGCAAACCAGCCAAGAAAGGGAGCCUGGAACUGACACUGCCCAACAAACCAACUUUCCAAGUAUUUUAGCAUGUCUUAUUUACAUUAAGAGAAGACAACAAACAAUUGCAGGAAUUUGCCCAAAUUCUACAUUCGCACAUACAUAUCAUGUGGGUCCUUGUGUACUAAUGAGUCCAAAUAAUCAUAACAUAUAUAUAAUUUAUUAUUAUUUAUUAGCAUUAUAGUAGUGCCUAGUGGGACAGUGUGCAAAAGCACAUUGAAAAAUGCAGCCCUUGGACAUUUUUCAGCAUGGUCAGAAGUGUGAGAAAUGAAAGAAGACAGGGUAAGAACAGACACCAGGGAGCACAGGGAUCAUUGUCAACUUCCUGCUUGACUUGGACUCAUUGAAAAAAGUGCAGGAAAUGGAGUCCCCUUAGUGUCUGCUCAGAUCACAUCACUGCUGCCUGGUUGGUUUUCCACAGGCCUUGUAAGAAGAGAACAACAAACAGCUCCUGAAAUGGGGUCCUACAGUUGCAGUUCAGGUGGAUUACAAGAAAUCGAACUGGAUGCUGAGGCAGUGUGGCUGGUGGAGCAAAGGAGAGUUGAAGUAUCUGCUCUACUGACAUGCUCAAGAUUCAGGGGACCAGUGGAACAGGUUUUGGCACUUCCCUGAGCUCAGGCUUUCUGCACUGCACUGACUGACAUUCAUGGAAAAUUCAGAAGUCACCAACAGUAUUGGAUCACUCUCAGGAUCUGACCCAGAUUUUCAGAAGGUUUGCAUCUGGAGAGAUCCUUUGGCCUCUGCUCAUAAGCAUAACCCCACACAGAGCUGCUGCUUGCAUCACAUUUGGGAGCUGCUUCAAACCAAAGAGUGCACUGGGCUGGUUUCUACAGACCUUGGGCUCUUGCUUGGCACAGCCAGCUGCAGAGGGCAGCCAGGGCUCUCAUACUGCUGCAAAUGUCAUGUGAAGGGAGAAAGUUUUCAGACAAAAGGACUUCAGAAUAAAAGUCCAUCUAAAUUUAUUGCAAGAAAUCAAAACCACACAGCAAUCUUUCUGUUGGCUUUCCAAGGUUCAGUCAGGAGCUUUGCUUAUGAUCAGUAA
rnacentral:lncRNA from 1 species